CACGUAGGGGGGCAAGCGUUUGUCCGGAUUUAUUGGGCGUAAAGAGCGUGUAGGCGGCCAUACAGGUCAGCUGUGAAAACUCGAGGCUCAACCUCGAGACGUCGGUUGAAACCGUAUGGCUAGAGUCCGGAAGAGGAGAGUGGAAUUCCCGGGUGUAGCGGUGAAAUGCGCAGAUAUCGGGAAGAACACCUAUGGCGGAAGGCAGCUCUCUGGGACGGUACUGACGCUGAGACGCGAAAGCGUGGGGAGCAAACAGG
rnacentral:rRNA from 1 species